AUGGAUGUGACAGGAUGGGUGGAUGUGACACAUGCAGUGUGGAAGGAGAAUUAUGAAACAUGUGUUUGCCUUAGUUUGAAAAGAGAUCUGGGCUGAUAGAGAACUUGUAUGUUACUAACUUAGCCAUUACUGGUCCUUUAACCACUGCUUCACUUUUUUGCAAAAUAUACUGAAGACACGUUUUAUAGUAAAGAAGGCUUUUUAACCUUAACUUGUCUUCUGAAUUCUUGAUAUUUCAGUACUUCAAGUCAGUCAGAACUUUGUAGACAGGCCUGAAAUUUUCUUGAAUACUUGUUUCUUAGCACUUUGAAAAUAUAAAACCACUUUUUAAGUACUGAAUGUCAUUAUUUGCCUUUAAAAUUUCCUGUGCUUGGGGCUUGAAAAAAUUUAGUUAUGUCUUUUUCUGUAUAUAAGUUGUAUAAUUUGUUACUUUCAAAUAUCAGUAGUUCAAUGCAAUCAGGUUUUGGGGUUUGGGGUUUUUUUUGUUUAUCUGCAAAAAAUAAGGGAAACAGCUAUAUAAACCAGUAUUUCACUUUGGAGCACAUUUCCUAAGUAUAAAUUUAUCUUCCUCAUUAUGUUUACUUCAGCAAAUGUUCAGUUUCAUUUGCAUUCUUUAAGAAUGUAUUUACUUGAAGAUAAAAGCAAUUCAAAUAUAUGUUUAAAUAUUAGGUAGAAUUCAACCUAUGAUUUUUAAAUUUCCUUGGAUAGUCCAUACAAUAAAUAAUACAAAUACAGUUAAUGAGAGCUGGCAAAAUUAGAGUGAUAAUUUUGUAUUUUUCAGGAAAAAAUUAUAAAGCAAAUUUCUGUUACAUUUUUUCUUUUUAUUAUAAGGACCAACUUUUGGUAUUUCCUUGUUACUGAGAUCUAUUUUUAGAAUAAAAUUUUGUUCUUUAUCAG
rnacentral:lncRNA from 1 species